CGCGUAGGCGGCCGAUCAAGUCAGGCGUGAAAUUCCCGGGCUCAACCUGGGGGCUGCGCUUGAUACUGAUUGGCUUGAAUGCGGGAGAGGAUAGUGGAAUUCCCAGUGUAGAGGUGAAAUUCGUAGAUAUUGGGAAGAACACCGGUGGCGAAGGCGGCUAUCUGGCCCGUAAUUGACGCUGAGGCGCGAAAGCGCGGGAGCAAACA
rnacentral:rRNA from 1 species